CCUACGGGAGGCAGCAGUGAGGAAUAUUGGUCAAUGGACGAGAGUCUGAACCAGCCAAGUAGCGUGAAGGAUGACUGCCCUAUGGGUUGUAAACUUCUUUUAUAUGGGAAUAAAACGUUCCACGUGUGGGAUUUUGUAUGUACCAUAUGAAUAAGGAUCGGCUAACUCCGUGCCAGCAGCCGCGGUAAUACGGAGGAUCCGAGCGUUAUCCGGAUUUAUUGGGUUUAAAGGGAGCGUAGGUGGAUUUUUAAGUCAGUUGUGAAAGUUUGCGGCUCAACCGUAAAAUUGCAGUUGAAACUGGCAGUCUUGAGUACAGUAGAGGUGGGCGGAAUUCGUGGUGUAGCGGUGAAAUGCUUAGAUAUCACGAAGAACUCCGAUGGCGAAGGCAGUUCACUGGACUGCAACUGACACUGAGGCUCGAAAGUGUGGGUAUCAAACAGGAUUAGAUACCCUGGUAGUC
rnacentral:rRNA from 1 species